AAAUUAACAUUAUAACGGCGUAAAGAGUGGUCGCAUGUUAUCCAAGUAGCUAAGAUUAAAAAGCAACUGAGUUGUCACAAGCUAAUGAUGCGGCAUAAGGCCUCUAUUCAAAGAAGAUCUUAGACCAACGAUUAAUUGAAGCCACGAAAGCCAGGGCCCAAACUGGGAUUAGAUACCCCACUAUGCCUGGCCCUAAAUCUUGAUGCUCGAUCUAACCGGAGCAUCCGCCCGAGAACUACGAGCACAAACGCUUAAAACUCUAAGGACUUGGCGGUGCUUCAAACCCACCUAGAGGAGCCUGUUCUGUAAUCGAUGAUCCACGAUUCACCCUACCAUUCCUUGCCCAAAACAGCCUAUAUACCGCCGUCUCCAGCCCACCCCCCAUGAAGGCCCAACAGU
rnacentral:rRNA from 1 species